UGCCUCAGUGUUUCCCAGCAGACUGAAGGCUUCCAUAUGGUCAGUUUCUAAGAAGUUAAUGCUUCUGGGUGGAAAAACAUCAACUUCCCUGAUGACUGCAGACUGAUACAAUGCUCAGGGCAAGCAGAGCUACCAUGAAAGGCAUAUAAGACAAAAAGGUACCUGGUCUCAGAAGAGAAGAUGAUUUACAUCUCCCAGAAGAUUGUCGCUGUUCCUUUUCUGUUUUCCAUUUAGAGGGAAAGAUAAAACUGCUCAUGAGUCAUGAGAUGGCCCCUUCCUUUACUGCUUGUCUCUGUGGUGUGUGCUCCCUAGCCAUCUCGCCUUCAACAUCAGAGAAAGGCCUUUAAUUUUGCACACUCUCUCUCAUUUUAUUGAAAUUACUAGCUUCUAUUCCAAUUAUAUUAUCACACUGUGUUAUCUUGUGUGCCACUAUCAUAUUUGGUAAAUUAGUUUUCUCCCUUAACUUGUUGCCACGUUUUGUUUUUAGGCCCAUCUCCCUACCUUUUCCCUUUUUUUUCCUUUCCUGAGGCAUAGGUUGGUGAGUCCCUCUGCCCCACCGGUUACAGAACUGGGCUGACCCAACCCAAAAUCACUGACAAUUUGUUUCUUGAAGAUGUUACUGCUUUUUUUUUUACUUCUUCCCUUAUCAGUCUCUUCUUUGCAUUUUCUGAUCCAUUCUUUUUAGUUUACUGGGUCUCAUAGAUAUUUGCAUCCUUGAGUUAAAAACAACAGAGAGAUACAUUUGAAAACUAAGAUUCCUUCAGUUGUUUUGCUAUUACAUUGUGUGUUGACCACUUGCAGAAGCAGGGACAGAUAGAGUCUCUUCCUCUACUCUAAGGGACUGAUAGAUCAGACUUGGAAAUGUUGGGGCUCCUUAACAGUUAUGAGAGGCUGAGGAAAAUGGACUGGAAGAACUGCGGUACAUGAAAACGUAAGGUAGAGAUGGAUCCAGAAGUACAUCUGCGGUAGGAUUUCUUCUCUUCUUCCAAAUACUGAUUCAGGUCUCAGUCACUUGCAGUUCAAUUUCCCUAAAACACUAUAACAGCAAAAUAGCUGAUGGUAUAAUUACUGCUGUGAAGAGAAGCAGGAAAUUAAAAUGAACUCCACCCAUGCCAACUCAGAGAUUAACACAGAGAAGCAUACGGCACACUACAUGACUAUGAAAAAUAAGACCUUUCAAAAGCAAUUGAAACCUGACAAGAAUAUUGAUGGCUCCUUUUUUUUUUUUUUUCCCCUUAUGCAGCUGAAUGUUUCUGAUCUUGUAAAUGUAAUGAGACAAUAAAAAAAUGCCUGGAAAUUUCCAUUUAUUAGAUUUUCAAACAGAUAAACUACAUAUUUUCCUGGAGCAUCUUCACUCUAAAAGUGUCCAAAGGGUAAUGAGUGCAGAUCACUUAUUAUGAAGUGGUAACUUUGAAAAUGUUCCAGGAACAAAAUCUGGCUUACUGGCCACCCAGACUCUCAAAAUACUGCUGUUCUCAAGUAAUUUUGGAAUCAUGUGGAUAGCCUGAGCCCUAUCUUUUGCUGCUCUAUCCCAUCACAGUGUGCUACCACUGAGAACACAGCAUUAUCUGCCAAAGAUGUAGCAUUACCAGGGGCAUGGUCCAUUCUUCCCACAACACUGUGGAAAAGAAAAGUCCUCAACAACACAGCAUGGUCUUGUAAAGACUAUAGUGCUGCUAUAUUAGGCCUGGAAAUGUUUAGGAAAACGUGUAUUAUUUAUCUUGUUCUUAAGUCAUUUGUGGUAUGAAAAGUGUGCUGUGGUGUCUUUGUGUUGUAUCUGAGAAAUCAAGAGCAUUAAUAUUCAAGGUACAGGAAACAGCGGUAUCUUUGAUCCGUCUAUGUGGUAACUGUUGUCAGAUGUGAAUAGUGAUGCGUAAGAAGAACUGGUCAGAAAAUUAUGAGGGGAAUCAUGUUAAAAAUGUAUCAGUCACCUUCCUUUAGGAUUAUCAGCUCACUCACAGAACUCCAGAAGCAUCCUAAUACAUGAUUAGAGGCCCUACAUAUGCUCUGUCAUACAGCCUGAAAGGCAGGAGUCACCAGUGUCACAGCAAAGGUGAAGGACCUUUUGCACUACUAUUGCUGUAGCUGAGAUGACCAAAUGUGCUCUUGCUAGAGACUGGCUCACUCAAGCACUUUGUUCCUUUAGGGUUUUGGGUCUGAGUUCUGCUAUGAAGGCCUUGGAUAUAAAUGAUACAGAGCCCUUUCACAAUACAGCAUCUCUACAGCUAUCUGAAUCAGAAAACAAGGAAAAAUUGUUGCCUUGAUUUAAAAUAAGACCUUUUUGUAUUUAUGGCUUUUCCCACUGUUCUCAGCAAGGUGAUUUAAGGCUUUGUCUGUUCUGAGGGCUGUGUGCUGGAUUCCCAACUGGAUCGGCAAAACACCUACUUCAACAUGUUUUAGCUCCAUUCUUUGUGAACUCAAAACCGAAAGCCUUUUUAAGAAGAUAACUUCCAAGAUGAAUUGGUCUGUUAACCUCCUCUCCCUCCCACCACUCUGACUGCAACUUGCAUUUACGGGCUUCAGCAAUCACAUUUGCUCUCUCAUCUAACCUUCUGCUCCCACCUCCUGACCUUCUGACAGAUUUACAGACCUGCCUGGAAAGAGAUGCAAGGCUGAUUCCUGAAGGGCUGCUCAUCUGGACAGCCCUCAUUCAGGAUCCCUGAUAAGAAAAAUAUCUGCACAGAAAGAGGAAUGGGGGAAGCUCAUUUGGUUUAGGGCUUGUGUAAAGGAAACCCUUGUAGGGAAAUGCAUUCAAAGAUUACUAAAAAUGGAUUUACAGAAAACCUUACCACCAUUAAAAGCACACUCAAAGGAAAUCCUCAUUGUCCUGAGUGCUGUUACAGAGUAAACACUGUAUGUUAAACCUGAGCUGUGAAGAGAGGGUGUCCUGUGUUAUUUGCUGAAGAAUGGCUGAGACACAGACCAGGCACAUCAGACCUUUCCUGCUUCAGUGUUCUGCAGACUGGCCAGGGGAAGUGUAAGAAAGCAUGCAGUAAGAAUCUCCAGAGGUAGGGCUUGCUGAGGCACUGCACUAGAGAGGUAGAGUUGCGCUUCUGAGCAUUUGCCCCAAGCAAUGAGACUGUACAACUGCAACCCUGUUUACUCCUUAGCUUCUACCUGCACGGCGUCAGGGUGGAAGCACUCCACCUCUUCCUCUCGAAAGCAGCAGAGGCGUCAGCUUGAGGUUACUGGUAAAACACCCACGACAAGAUAAACCCUCCAUAUCAUCUACUCCUUUUACUUGCAAGAAAGAAAAAGCAGGGUGCGUUAUUCUUCCCUGCUGUUUGAUAGUAGCGUUUCUGGUAGGAAUGGUCUUCACAUUUCAUUUUGCAGAUGGUUGCUCCAAAGGGACUUCUGAGUCUGUAUCUUGUCUUUCUGUUUAGACUGCUGCAAGACUUGUCUGGGCUUAUCUUGAGCAAGUCCCCUUGCAGACUGCACGCAGUAGAGCUCAAUUGGGUGGAUCUUGUGACCAUUGCUGGAGUUUCCUUCAAGUAAUUUUCAUUCUAGUUAGUAGCUCUCAUCAUCUUUCUUCCAAAACCUAUAAAAUAUCAGAGGGAACUGCAGCAAGUAGAAUCUGCAGUUCCUUUAUAUGAUUAUUUGUACUGUAGGAACAAAAGAAAUAAUAGACCUUUACACUAGAAGUAGAGCCUUUGGAAAAAGAACAUUAAGGCUUAGAUACGUAUUGUCUUCAGAAAGUAACACUGGGUGUGAUGUGUUUGGCUACGGGUUAUUAUUUGAUAUGCCCUAAUUUCAGCUUCUGGCCUCUCACUCUAUAGACAUAUUGAUGCUCAGUGCUUUGUGACUCAGCCUAACAACAAUGCUUUUGUUACCAAAUUAUAACAAUAUUGGGUCAAUCCUGCAAGAGGAUGUUAUUAUUCAGUACACGGAGGCUAAGUUUCAGACUGAAAAAGCAGCUCAAUUCACUCCAGAAAGCCAUUAACUAGUGCUACCCUUAAUAACAAUUACUUAAUGCUUGUACUCAUGAAAGAACUGAAAAGAUUUGUUUUAUUCUUAUAGAAAACUGAAGCUGUGUUCACAACUGGGAUAAGACACAGACAUUCACUGAAGCCAACACAGCUUGUUUCAGCACCUGAGUCUGGUCCUGUGACAUCCUUUUCUCAGAACUUUUAAGCCUAAAAACUCUUCCCUCUUUAGAAGUUGGACAUGUGCUAAGCAGAAAACAAAGUAUUCUUAUGUUUGCAAGAGUACUAAAUGAAUAGAAAUGGUAUCACAAGCUGGGAUGAUAAACAGAUUGAAAAAUAUUUUGAUGUCGGUAAUACCUCUAACUCCAUAAAUCUUGUUGCAU